rnacentral:rRNA from 1 species
CCUUUGAACAGAUUGAACGCCGGCGGCAUGCCUAACACAUGCAAGUCGAACGGUAACAGGCGAAAGCUUGCUUUUGCCCUGACGAGUGGCGAACGGGUGAGUAAUGCUUAGGAAUCUGCCCAGUAGCGGGGGACAACAAUCGGAAACGGUUGCUAAUACCGCAUACGCCCUACGGGGGAAAGCAGGGGAUCUUCGGACCUUGCACUAUUGGAUGAGCCUAAGUCAGAUUAGUUUGUUGGUGGGGUAAUGGCCUACCAAAGCGACGAUCUGUAGCUGGUCUGAGAGGACGAUCAGCCACACUGGUUUUGAGACACGGUCCAGACUCCUACGGGAGGCAGCAGUGGGGAAUAUUGCACAAUGGGCGCAAGCCUGAUGCAGCAAUGCCGCGUGUGUGAAGAAGGCCUGCGGGUUGUAAAGCACUUUCAGCAGGGAGAAAAAGUAAUAAGUUAAUACCUUAUUGCCGUGAUGUUACCUGCAGAAUAAGCACCGGCUAAUUCCGUG